ACAAGCGGUGGAGCAUGUGGUUUAAUUCGAUGCAACGCGAAGACCUUACCUGGGCUUGACAUCCCGGGAAUCCCUUGGAAACAAGGGAGUGCCCUUCGGGGAACCUGGAGACAGGUGCUGCAUGGCUGUCGUCAGCUUGUGUCGUGAGGAUGUAGGGUUAAGUCCCGCAACGAGCGCAACCCUUGUCUUUAAUUGCCAUCAUUGAGUUGGGCACUUUAAAGAGACUGCCGGUGUUAAAACCGGAGGAAGGUGGGGAUGACGUCAAGUCCUCAUGGCCUUUAUGCCCAGGGCUACACACGUGCUACAAUGGGUGGUACAAAGAGCAGCCAGCUCGCGAGAGUGAGCAAAUCUCAAAAAGCCAUCCUCAGUUCGGAUUGAAGUCUGCAACUCGACUUCAUGAAGUUGGAAUCGCUAGUAAUCGCGGAUCAGCAUGCCGCGGUGAACACGUUCCCGGGCCUU
rnacentral:rRNA from 1 species